CCCUGGUUAGCUCAGUCGCUAGAGCGCUCCACCUGUAAUGAAGAGGUCGCGAGUUCGACACCCGGACCAGGCG
rnacentral:tRNA from 1 species